GACUACUGGUGAAACCCAUUUCGAAAUGUGACAGCAGCACUCAGACUGACACCCACUUGGUGGAGACAAACAUCGUCAAGUCCUACGAGUGGAAUGAGUGGAGGCUCCGAUGGAAAGCCAUGCAGCUGGCUAACCUACGCAGCAAAGUGACUCACUCAGUGCAGACCAGCCACAUGAGGAGGAACAAUGUGAUUCAGACAUACCAGACAAAAGAUGCUGGCUGCCAGACCAAAAAAGAUGGCGAAACAAAUGGCCCUAAACAUAAGGUCUAUCUGGCAGGGCUAUGAGGUGGAAAGCCAGGACCUACAAUCAUGACAAAAAAAACAAUUUGAAUCAGUUGAUGAGUAGCUAUGUUCUAGAUAGGUGUUUUAUUGUUCUCAGUUUUACUUAUGCAAGAAACAGGAUUAAUACAUAUAAUCGUUCAAAAUGGAAA